UGCAGGAAGGAAGUCUAUGACUUUGAAAACUCAGACUCCUCAAGUCACGAAAAGGUUUCUAAAGCCAAAGGAAAGAUUCUUGCCCAGAAAAUUUCUUCACAAAGUCAGAGGACUUACGAAACAAGAAGCAAGAGCAAGGAAUCACAGAGUCUUGAGAGAAGGCAGUCCAGUUACAGGAAACAUCUUUUCUCUGAAAGCAACAAUGAGAAUACAAGCCCUGGUCAGAGUGAAAAAAGCUGGAUCCUUGACUCUCAGAUACAGUCGGCACCAAAAUCUGUUGACUAUACCCGAAAAAGACCCAGGGUGAGAAGUAAAUUAAAAGUGCUUCCAGUACCUUCUGCAAGUAGUGGCAGCGACUAUGAGUCAAAGAAGGUGGGAGUAUCAAAGCAAAGAGUUCAAAAGGAGAUGUCAAGGGAAAAAAGCACAUUUAACUUCAAGGGAGAUGAUUUACCCACGGUGGAUCUUGCUGAUGAAUCUCUCUCAGAGGAGCUUGGAGGGAGUCCGCUGCUAUUGAGUGUGUCUACCAGGAGCUCUCCCAGUGACAUGGAGAAGGCCACACAGGUGCAGAAAAAGUGCUUAGUCUCCCUUCCAGCCUGCUGUCAGGCUACCUGAAACCAGUGUGUCAUGUCUCUUUGCUUCCCAUAACAAGACAAGUCCCUGGCAGCUUGUCUGCAGGGUGGGUACAGUCUUAUUUUGUUUUCUUUCUCUACUUAGAAGUUUCAUGGUACACCAGGCAAAAUAUCAAGA
rnacentral:lncRNA from 1 species